AGACAGCAGAGAGCAAUGAAAAGUUCACCACGCAGUUUAUUAAUUGCUGCCUGAAAUACUUUUCUGAAACACAACGAGCUGCAAAUGAAUUCAUGGGCUAUUAAUCUGCUGUACAUGGCACUGGAGGGAAAGCUCAUUAGAGGAGCUCCAACAAGUAAAAACAGAAGACUCAAGGCCAUUGUAACAUCAGCUCUGUAAAAUGUCACAAACUCGUGCUAACACCCAGGAGAAGGACCUCUUGCAAAAACACCCACACUGGCACAAGCAGAAGGUGCAAGGCUGAAGAAGGCUGUUACGUGCUGCAAGAGGGCCAUCAGGAGGCCCUUGGGAAAUGACACCCUGGGCUGACAGGAGCAAAACUUGCCAAGCAGCAAAGCCACAAGCUGCUCUGCAUGGCUGUGGGAGGACUGAAACAGAUCUUAAGAAGCCAGUGCCAUCUUGCUUAUGCCCCUUGCCCCAGGAAGCCGUUUCUAGAACAUAGGGGAGAUAAUACAGCCUUAAAGCAAGCAUCUGUGAUUUUGUUCCUUUAGAAAACCUGGUGAAAUGACCCACGUAGAAGUUGUCACAUCCACACAGGUUGGCCACGUUGCACAGACAGCACAUUGCACUAUUUGGUCUUAAGUGACAGCAUCUAUGCCGCACAGUUAAGGACUCAGAAGUCAAUAAAGUACAUCUGAAGUUGUGUGCAAAGUUCAAACUCCCUUCUGUGCACAUGAAUACAGACACUGGCUUCAAUUGCGUAACUGUGUCAUAUUUUUCUUCCUUUGGGACUGUCAUAUAUACUUAGGAUAUGACAAACAAUAAAUUGCUUCCGAAGA